AAAUAAAAUUAAUAAAUACUUACGAAAUGAACUCACGUGAAAAUAGUUUUAUAACCAUCAAAGUUAGUUAAGUAAACGAGAAAUAUAUUAUUAUAGGUUUAGUGUAUGUAGAUAUCACAAUGAUUCACAGUUUGUUUAUCAUCAACGCUUCAAUGCCCUUGUUGGUUUGUUAGUUUGCACCGAUCAUUUAUGCAGUUUAGGAACUUGUGUUUGAUUGCUGUGGAUGGCAGACGUUUGUGGCUGUUCAAAAGACAUCAGGCCAUGGAAAAAUAAUAAGUUUUAUUAACGACUGAAGAAAGUAACUGGGGACAAGCCCAUUCUCCUGAACACAUUCCUCUGUUGUGAAACAAUACUUUGGAAAAGUUUG